rnacentral:tRNA from 1 species
CCCCCUGUGGCUCAGUUGGUAGAGCAUGGUGUUUGCAACGCCAACAUGGUGUGUGCAACGCCAGGGUUGUGGGUUCGAUUCCCACGGGGGGC